rnacentral:rRNA from 1 species
CUGGCUCAGGAUGAACGCUAGCUACAGGCUUAACACAUGCAAGUCGAGGGGCAUCAUGAUCUUAGCUUGCUAAGAUGAUGGCGACCGGCGCACGGGUGAGUAACGCGUAUCCAACCUUCCCUGUACUAGGGGAUAGCCCGGCGAAAGUCGGAUUAAUACCCUAUGUUUUCCGAAGCGAGCAUUUAAUUUGGAACAAAGGUUUACCGGUAUAGGAUGGGGGAUGCGUCUGAUUAGAUAGUAGGCGGGGUAACGGCCCACCUAGUCGACGAUCAGUAGGGGUUCUGAGAGGAAGGUCCCCCACAUUGGAACUGAGACACGGUCCAAACUCCUACGGGAGGCAGCAGUGAGGAAUAUUGGUCAAUGGGCGAGAGCCUGAACCAGCCAAGUAGCGUUGCAGGAUGACGGCCCUAUGGGUUGUAAACUGCUUUUAUAUAGGGAUAAAGUGAGGGACGUGUCCCUUAUUGUAGGUACUAUAUGAAUAAGGACCGGCUAAUUCCGUGCCAGCCGCCGC